rnacentral:ncRNA from 1 species
GGCGCUACCUCGGGGGGCUUUUUCAAAAGCUGAGAUUGCAAUUCUGCUGACCCGUUGAACCUGAACCGGCUAACACCGGCGGAGGGAAGGUAACGGCAACAGCC